AUCUCGAUGGUGUAAUUGGUCAGUCACGGCGCUCUCAUAAGGCGCAAGUCGGGGUUCGAGUCCCUGUCGAGAUA
rnacentral:tRNA from 2 species